AGUGAACGCUGGCGGCAGGCCUAACACAUGCAAGUCGAACGGCAGCACAGUGGAGCUUGCUCCAUGGGUGGCGAGUGGCGGACGGGGUGAGGAAUACAUCGGAAUCUGCCCAGUCGUGGAGGAUAACAUAGGGAAACUUAUGCUAAUACCGCAUACGACCUACGGGUGAAAGCGGGGAUCGCAAGACCUCGCGCGAUUGGAUGAGCCGAUGUCCGAUUAGCUAGUUGGCGGGGUAAUGGCCCACCAAGGCGACGAUCGGUAGCUGGUCUGAGAGGAUGAUCAGCCACACUGGAACUGAGACACGGUCCAGACUCCUACGGGAGGCAGCAGUGGGGAAUAUUGGACAAUGGGCGCAAGCCUGAUCCAGCCAUGCCGCGUGGGUGAAGAAGGCCUGGUGUAAGCCUUGUCC
rnacentral:rRNA from 1 species